ensembl:lncRNA
UUAUAAUAUUCUAGGCUAUAUAUUAUACUGGAAUGCAUCUAUCCACACAUUCCAAUUUUUUUAAUGAUUUCUCCAAAGUUGGCCUCAUUUUACAGAUAUUUUAUGUUCUCACUCAUAAAACACAUACACAUCAAAUAAUUAACUCUAGUGUCACAGUGUGAACUCAAAUAACACACAAUUAGCAAGCAUUCAGUAGCAAAACUGAUGACACCAGUCAGAAUCUCAGGAUAGUAUAAACAGGAGCACAGGUGACUGCUUUAAAAAUGCAUCCUAGCACUGAAGAGAGAGCUGAAAGAACCACACAGUGUAGUACAGUAUAGUAACUAUAAUAACAGUACUUUAUUACAGCUACAGUGUUCUGAGUUGAUCUCACUAGUGUUCACUGGGCAGGGAAGUUGUCUGAUUCUAAUUAGUUAUUUUAAAAAAGCAUGCAAACCGAUUGCCUUGAAAAAAAAACAAGUAAAGUGAAAUAAGAAUAGUAAUUUGUACUAACAAAGGUUUAUUUGUUGUAAACUUACACUCAAGUUCUUGUAACUCAGAAUCACUUUUUUCAACAACUAAAUUAUUAAUUGCAAUAUACUAUGUGCGUAUUUCAAACAACUCAUUUAAGUUUAGCUAAAUCAAGUAACAUUUCUAAGUUGUAUUUACUUGAACAGCAAUCUAGUUUUAACCAAUUGCCUUAAAUAAAAAAAACAAAAAAAAGAAGAAGUUAGCGUUACUCCAGUAACUUAAUAUGGUUCAAACAUCCAUUAAAAAUUCAUGACAACAAUGUUCUAUUCUUCACACACAUAAUUACCCAUAAAUCAAAGGUAGUGACAGUUCAAAGUUAAAGAUAAUAUAUUUUUUAUAUUUUUCAAUGCAGUUUUAACUUGUAUUACAAACAUUUUGAAACAAAGCAAAAACUGUCUGCUUUUGUUUAUACUAAACAGUGGAGGUAGCAGUAAGAUGAGAUUAAGUAUGGCAAUGAGUUGGCCACACAAGUUGCCAGUGUUUUUUUUUUUCUGUCCCAAGUCAAGCAUCAUAUUGUAAGUGUUCUUCACAGUAUCAGGGUAAUCUUCAUGUACCAGUAAUCCAAACGUAGCACAUGGCGGUCCGGAAGCAAAUGUGCGAGGUAGACCCUGGAGACGGUUCUUUGCAGUACUACACUGAACAAUGAUGGCAGAAGACACAGGGUCAAGGCAGAGAAGAUUUGGAGAAGUACUUCAUCUUCAGUGAUAGUCAGCAAGCCAACAGAUACUAGUGCCCAGACUGCAUCAAUAUCAGACACCUGUAUAAAACCAAAUAAAAACAAUAUUAGCAGGGAAAUGAGGAUGAUCAGUUUUCAGUGUUAUCUGUCUUGCCUACACUGCCAUGCCAUUGGGUUAGUUCACCCAAACUUGAAAUUCAUGUCAUCAUUUACUCACCCCUAAUUUUUUUUUUUUUUUUCGGAACACAAAUAAAGACAUUUUCAGUGAAAUCUGAGAAAUUUCUGUCCUUUAACUGAAUGUCUAUUUACCCAACACUUUAGACAGUUGAUCAUAUAGCAAUCAUGUCUUUUCAUAGACUUGAUUCGCUUUUCCACUGUCAGGCCAAACCAUUCUUAAUUCUCAAUGCUUAACCAUUCCAUGCUGUGACAAUACGGAUAUAGUUCAAUUUUUCACUGUUGGGCUGUUAACAGAGCUCUUUUGAAUGCAACAUAAAUGUGUCAGUCAUUGCCUUAGUAAUGCAAUAGUUAAGAUAUCGUACCUGAUGUAAAUAGCACCCAUGUUAUGAAAGAUUAAAUAUUACUUUUAACUUUACUAUUAACUUGUUUACUUCACUCAAAUAGCAUGUUGGCCAGCUACAGAGAAACUGGUGGCUAGGCAAAAGACAAACGACCAACCCUGAGCAGCGACGUCACUCCAGGUGUUCUACAGCAUGGUUCAUUGUGUUCAGCUAAGAGCUCUGGAUCAAGAACAGUUCAUCAGACCAUGCCUAACAGAGUUUAAGUGGAAAUAUAACUGAAACUGCUCCUUACAAUUCAUUGAACAGUUUGGCCCAAAAAAGUAGAUUAAUCGGCUCCAUUCAUAUAGAUUGAUUUGAGAUUUGUCAGAGAUUUGGGUUAUGUAUCUUCAUUCGUGUCAUGAAGAUGCAGACUUUUUUAUGGAAUAAAAUGACAGAAGGGAGAUUAAAUGGCACAUUUUUCAUUUUUAAUUGAACUAGGUAGUUAAUCAACAUUAAUCUUUAUAAAGGUACCUCAGUAAUAUACCAGCAAAUACACAGGUAUUUUUUCUAAAAUGUGUUUUUUUUAAGGUGUAACUAUGAGAACUUACAAAGCGGGUCAAUUGUAGAAGUAUCUGGGGUGAUCAUGAAGUAAAACAGGUACAGUAGGCCUCAGAUGGGUGUGUAGUUCUGACGAAUCUGGGUUCUAGAAGUAAGAAAAGAAAAACAAAGUUUAAGAAAUUAAAAAAUUACAGUAGAAACAUGUUUGUCAAAGUGUCAAUAAAGAAGUCAUUGACGCUGUUUAUUUUAAAUAUUAUUAUUAAAUAUAAU